GAUGAACGCUGGCGGCGUGCCUAAUACAUGCAAGUCGAGCGAACAGACGAGGAGCUUGCUCCUCUGACGUUAGCGGCGGACGGGUGAGUAACACGUGGAUAACCUACCUAUAAGACUGGGAUAACCUCGGGAAGCCGGAGCUAAUACCGGAUAAUAUAUUGAACCGCAUGGUUCAAUAGUGAAAGACGGUUUUGCUGUCACUUAUAGAUGGAUCCGCGCCGCAUUAGCUAGUUGGUAAGGUAACGGCUUACCAAGGCGACGAUGCGUAGCCGACCUGAGAGGGUGAUCGGCCACACUGGAACUGAGACACGGUCCAGACUCCUACGGGAGGCAGCAGUAGGGAAUCUUCCGCAAUGGGCGAAAGCCUGACGGAGCAACGCCGCGUGAGUGAUGAAGGUCUUCGGAUCGUAAAACUCUGUUAUUAGGGAAGAACAAAUGUGUAAGUAACUAUGCACGUCUUGACGGUACCUAAUCAGAAAGCCACGGCUAACUACGUG
rnacentral:rRNA from 1 species